rnacentral:lncRNA from 1 species
UUGCUGGAGUUCAGCUUAGGGAAGGAGGACUCUGAGGAGGCCCCGAGCGGCGGAGCGCUUCGGGGGAGGCGCCCGCGCAGACGCGAGGCCCAUAGCCAGGACCACCACCUAGCUGAUUCUUGAUGACAUUGGUCGGGAAAACUCGCCUUUCACGGCCCGGCCAAGGGGCAUUUGGGUGCUUUUGCUGCCCGUGGCUGUGCUCAGCGUUGUGGGAAGCCCCUGGGAGGCCGAAUGUGCAGGAUCACCGAGGGGAAAGUGAGCUUGACAGUAUGACGCCGUGCCCAUCCAGUCCAGCGUGGUGUUAUGUUCCUGCCCAUCCCCAUCAAUGGUGAGGACCCAGACUGAGUCCAGCACGCCCCCUGGCAUUCCUGGUGGCAGCAGGCAGGGCCCCGCCAUGGACGGCACUGCAGCCGAGCCUCGGCCCGGCGCCGGCUCCCUGCAGCAUGCCCAGCCUCCGCCGCAGCCUCGGAAGAAGCGGCCUGAGGACUUCAAGUUUGGGAAAAUUCUUGGGGAAGGCUCUUUUUCCACGGUUGUCCUGGCUCGAGAACUGG